rnacentral:rRNA from 1 species
UACGUAGGGGGGCAAGCGUUGUCCGGAAUCAUUGGGCGUAAAGAGCGCGUAGGCGGCCCUGUAAGUCCGCUGUGAAAGUCAAGGGCUCAACCCCUUGGAUGCCGGUGGAUACUGCAGGGCUAGAGUCCGGAAGAGGCGAGUGGAAUUCCUGGUGUAGCGGUGAAAUGCGCAGAUAUCAGGAGGAACACCGAUGGCGAAGGCAGCUCGCUGGGACGGUACUGACGCUGAGGCGCGAAAGCGUGGGGAGCAAACAGG